rnacentral:rRNA from 1 species
GACGAACGCUGGCGGCGUGCUUAACACAUGCAAGUCGAGCGGUAAGGCCCUUUCGGGGGUACACGAGCGGCGAACGGGUGAGUAACACGUGGGUGACCUGCCCUCAGCUCUGGGAUAAGCCUGGGAAACCGGGUCUAAUACUGGAUAUGACUCCAUGACGCAUGUUGUGGGGUGGAAAGCCUUGUGCGGCUGAGGAUGGGCCCNCGGCCUAUCAGCUUGUUGGUGGGGUGANGGCCUACCAAGGCGACGACGGGUAGCCGGCCUGAGAGGGCGACCGGCCGCACUGGGACUGAGACACGGCCCAGACUCCUACGGGAGGCAGCAGUGGGGAAUCUUGCGCAAUGGGCGAAAGCCUGACGCAGCGACGCCGCGUGAGGGAUGACGGCCU